UACGGAGGGUGCAAACGUUGCUCGGAAUCAUUGGGCGUAAAGCGCACGUAGGCGGCGCGUUAAGUCGGGUGUGAAAGCCCUGGGCUCAACCCAGGAAGUGCAUUCGAAACUGGCGCGCUUGAAUAUGGAAGAGGGUCGCGGAAUUCCCGGUGUAGAGGUGAAAUUCGUAGAUAUCGGGAGGAACACCAGUGGCGAAGGCGGCGACCUGGGCCAAUAUCGACGCUGAGGAGCGAAAGCGUGGGGAGCGAACAGG
rnacentral:rRNA from 1 species